CUAAGCAACCCAGGCGAGGUGGACGAAUCGAAACGAAGGCAGGCGUAGAAGAAGACACUCCCAAGGAGAACAGACGACCACCACGAGGACCGUGACCGGUCGGAGACGACUGGGGGUGGCGUUCAGCAACGAUCCCUGCAGUGACAGCAGCAAGAACCCGUUGAGCUUCCAAGACGACGCCUCAAGGGAGGGAGUGACGCCACUAGCACCGUCAUCGUCCGACCAACACAGUCAAGGCUUUCACCCGGAAGCUCGCCGUAGGGAGGGAAAAGGGGAAAGAAUGAUGCCUUCGAGAAGGGAAGCGGCGCCCGGGGCGUUGUCGUCAUUGACCCGCAAGCAAGCACAAGGCUUUCGCCUACACCCGUUCCCUCCCUAAAAAUCACCGCCGCCACCAGAAAUCACCGCCACCACCAAGAGCACGGGGAUCGCCAGGCGCGAAAGAGCUGAAGAAUGCCGCCACAUAGUCAGUUGCCCGGUCCCCCCGUCGGCGGAAGAUGGCGCAGCCACUAGAGAGGUUGGGGGGGCGCAGGCGGCCACCCGGACAGUCACGCGGCGGCGGUGCAUGCCUGAUAGACCAGACAGCCGGGGAGGGACGCGGCCACCCUCGCCGCCCGCCCACCGGCCGACGGCAGCGGAAGGGGCGGCAAGAGGAGGGACGCAGGUCCAGCCACCGGAGGGGGGGGCAGCCUCCUAGCCGCGAUCUCCUGUCCUUCGGACGACGGAAGGGGGAGAACGUAGUGGUCAUCAUCGGGGAAGGGAUCCCCACGCCAGGGAUGUGUAGAUCCGGGCUUAGGGGAGGUGGAUCUGCCAGCAGCGGCCGGCGGCGCCUAGGGUUUGUAGAGGGGGAGUGGAGAGGGAGAGAGGAGGAGCGAAGGGGAGGGAGAGAGCGUGCUGCGGGGUCGGCUUCGGCGCCGCCGCAGGCCGCCACAAGAGUCAAGCGAGUGGGCGAGCUAAGCAAGAGAGCGGGGUGCGAGAGCUUCCAAUUUUAAUUUUUUAUCGUUUGCUUCAUUUCAUCCUUCCUCAUUUUUUUCCACCUUCUCAGCUUCGUUACAUUCUUCCAUGUUUUCCAUCCAUACGCAUCAGUUUUCAUGUACUUUUUAUAUCCGCGCUGGUGUUAACUAAAUUAGAUCUUGGGUUAGGAGAUACGGUGGGUUAUGAUCUACUACAGAGUGGAGUCUAAAUGAGGUAAUCCAGAGAAAUGUAUGGGGCGAUGACAUGCUUGGCGGUGUCACGGUAGGCGUCAAGGUAAAGCUGAUUGUGAUAGAGUCACCACCUAUUCAUUGACUCUCAAAAGGCUAGUUGCAGCCUUGUAGGAGGUCUUGUAUCCUCCAUGACAGUCAUUGUACUCCUUCCGUCUUAUAGAGAAUGCAACUCCCGCUUCCCGAUAAAUCAACUAAUUUUAAAUUUGAUCAAAUUUAUACAAAAUAGUACUAACAUUUAUCAUACAAAAUAAAUAUCAAUAAAUUAAUCAUGCAAUAUAUUUUCAUACUAGAGAUGUGAAUGUUAGUAUUUUUUUUAUGUAAAUUUGAUCAAACUUAAAACUGUUUGACUCCUCAAGAAGUGAGAGUUGCAUUCUUUUUUAGAUGGAGGAAGUAGAUGGUAGAGGAGGGUAGAGUUGCAUUCUUUUUUAGACGGAGGAAGUAGAUGGUAGAGGAGGGUAGAGUUGCAUUCUUUUUUAGAUGGAGGAAGUAGAUGGUAGAGGAGGGUAGUGCUGGGAUGGAAGCCAUGGAAGGAUAAUCGUGAGUCAUUUAAAAGGUGGAGAGGGGGUAAUUUAGGACGAAAGCCUCGUAGAAUGACGGUGGAGCCGUGGAGGUAGGGAGAAAAACCAUCCAUGCCCAUGCAAAACCGCCGGGUCACAACAAAGUUUGGCUAUCUGGGCGGACACCGCCGGGUCACCUACCUGGCCCUUGUUUACUUCCCACAAAACUCCCAACUUUAACACUAUGCAAAAAGAAGAUUCCCCAUCACAUCAAACUUGCGGUACAUGUAUGGAGUACUAAAUGUAGACGAAAUCAAAAACUAAUUGCACAGUUUUGUUGUACUUUGCGAGACGAAUCUUUUGAGCCUAAUUAGUCAAUAUUUGGACAAUAAUUCACAAAUACAAACGAAACGCUACAGUAUCGCAUUUAUGGCAAAAUGCCAAUUUGGCACCUCCCAACUUCCCAAGUAAACAAGGACCUGGUGGAAGAGGAGCCAGAGAACGACGAGGAAUUCGCGUCGUGUUUGGCGCUAGAUCUCCGGUUCGAAACUUUGAAACCCCCUUUGCCCUUGGGCCCCACUUCGGCCCGCUCGGCGUGCAGCAAAAGGCGCCGCUGACACGACUGGCAGGGCGUUCGCCUUGCGAAACAAAAGGCGUCGUCAGCGAACACCGAGGCGAAAACGCGACGGGAUCGCGCAGGCCCUUCAUCCUACCGCAUCGCCACAUCGGCAGGCCACGGAAGGGGGGAGGAGACCAUUUGAAUUUCGAACGCCGCCGGCCACUCCGCUCCCCAUCAUUCCCCACGACCCCUCCCAUCCUCCGCCUGCCCCUCCUCCACUCCGGUCUCCACCGUCCGCCGGCAGAGAUGAAGAAGGCGUCCGCGGCCUCGCGCUACGCGGCCUACGACUCCCCGUCCCCGUCCCCGUCCCCGCGCCGCGCGGCGCCCUCAGCCCCCGCCGCGGCCGCGACCCCGGGAGGAGCGCACGGCAGCAGCAGCAGCCGCAGCCGCGCGCUGGUGGUGGCUGGGAGAUCCGGCCGCGACCUGCUGGGCGGCAGGCCGCAGCCCCAGCACCAGGGCAACCUGGGCUCCGUGCUCCGGCGGCUCAUCUCCAUGGACAAGAAGCCGCCUUCCGCCAAGGGCCACCUCCCGGUGCCUCCUGCCGCCGCCGCCGCAGCGGCGGCGAAGAACAACGGCGGCGGGAAGCUGCCGGGGCUGUCGCGGAAGCUAUUCCAGAAGGGGCCGUCCGCCGACGCGGCAGCGGCCAAUAAGACGAAGGCCCUGACGGACGUCAAGAACGGCGGCAACAACGCCAACACGCGGACGCUCGCCAUGGUGCUGCGCAGCGAGCGGGAGCUCCUGGCGCAGAGCAAGGCGCAGGAGGACGAGAUCGCCGCGCUCCGCCUGCAGCUCGAGAACAAGGACCGGGAGGUGGAGCGGCUCAAGGACCUGUGCCUGCGCCAGCGGGAGGAGAUCAGGACGCUCAAGGACGCCGUCCUGUUCCCGGACGCAGAGCGGGAGCCGGAGCCGGACCGCCGCCUCCGGGAUGAGAUCUCCACGCUCACCGGUCAGAUCCAGUGCCUUGCGCAGGAGCUCGCCCAGGCACGUUCCAUUCCAUGAUCUCACCGUGUGUUCUUCACUUUUGCACCUAGGCAGUCGAUUUCUAAUGCUCUGCCGCCUGCUGUUUCACUCUCUGCAGGUUAAGGCCGAGAAGCACUCGGCAAGGUCCUGCUUUGAAGAUGAUGGAUACUGCUCUUCCCCUAGGACGCCGGGGUUUAACGAGGAGACCGCUUUCUCUCUGGUGGGUUCGAUUGCUCCACUAUUUGUUUGUUCUUACAAUGGCAUAUUGUUUGUUCCUGAUUACAAAAUUACAACUUUUGAGUUGUAUCCCGUGCGGUUUGAAUAACCACUAGCAAUAUGCCUGGUUACCAAUUAAUCUGUGAAUAAGGUGGGGAAUCAGUGUAUUGCUUUCAUGAUAGUAUUCUCAACCUGCAUUUUGCGUUUCCUGAGGAAUGCAGGUAUUUGUGUUGCUGCAGAGAUUAUUUUUCUUCUAUAUAAUUGUUUACUUCUUUUGUGUUUAUUUCUUUAUGUAUUAUGAAGUACUGCACAAACAAACCAGAAACUGGCUACCUCACACAUUAUCUAUCCGCCGUGUAGUAAGAAAUAUAUGCCAUUGAUGAUAUGAUAGACAGACUGCAUACAUUAGUAAUUUGAGAAAAACAUAGGUUCAUACUCUUAUGUAGUUCUAUCAUUGAUGCAGAACAAUAUUUUGCACGCUCUUCUCUUGCACUACAAAAUAUACACUGAUUGUGUUCCACGUUGACAAGUGCCUAGUUGUCAGCACAAACAGGCUUUAUCUCACUUUUCUUAUGAUCUAUUCUCUCUGCUAACACAGGAGUGCAGCAUUGGGGAAGCUGAGACACCAAACUAUGGUAGCCCAGAUGAAAUGUUCAGCAAAGAUCUUAACCCUUGCCUGACCCCCUGCAUUGCCAAGAGCAAAUCCGAUGUAUCUGCACAAAUCCAGUCUUCUUCCCAUUCCACAAAGGUGAAUUUCUUCUCCUAUCAUUUUUUUGUUGACCUCAAGCGAAAGCAAAGAAAUCCGAAAUAACAUUUUUUUGCUAUGUCUAUCUUGUGCUUGCCAGGAGUGCCAGGAAUCCAGUGGUUCUCUUCGCAGCAGCAGCAAGGCAAAAACAGACCGCUCUUACAAUUCUUUUGGAAGGCCAAUGUCGAAGAGCUCUGAUCAUCACAAGCCUACCUCAGGCACCAGCAACAAACGACGAGUAUACAAAUCCGAUCAAGACAAGAUCUAUCAGAACCUGUUUUGAGUUCAUCAUCAUCAUGAACGUGCCACUGAAGGCAGCCUCUGCUAUGUGAAUUAUUUAUAAGUAUGUGGGACUUGUAUGGUCCGUCGAUACUGGUUUCAAACUGCAAAAUAACAGUGUUCAUGAUCUUUAGCAGUGAAUGCAAUCUUGGUUUUUGCUUUGUUGAGUUAUGUUCUUGCUUGCCCGGCUAUUUGCAAUGCCAGUUUGACUCUGUUAUGUCAUGGAUAAAUGAAUGUGCAAAUUCUAUUUUUUUUAAGAUGAUGCACAAAGUCAUGUGGAUUGCGACCUAUGGCAAUGCGAUAAUAAUAUAGCAUUUGCAUCAUGUUGUUCGGAGCGUAACAGAUGGGUGGAUUGCUUUUGCCGAUAGAUGCAGGUGACAAGUGAUUUGCAAAGUGCAAUUUGGUUCUAGCUUGUGAAAUUGUUGAAACUGGUGUAAUAAGCCUCUUCUUUGAUAAAUAAACGUCUUGUGUUGAUGCUUGUUCUAUGUGGAUCUGGUUCAGGAAUAUUUUAGAUCAGUACCUUUUCCUGGGGCGUUGUACUUAGAAGUCCUCUUGAAUGGAGCUAUUUUCGUUGGUCAGCAAAAUGUUUAAAAUUGUUUAAUUUUUACUUUUAGGAAUCUGGCUAAAUGUUUGACUGAAGGCAUCUCUGAAUUAUGUUCGUGUUCAUCGAACAAAACCUUUUAUACAGGGAAGAACCAUAUUCACCUCCCGCUACCAAAAGGUCAGAGCCGUCGGAUGAAGUAAUGAACGGCCCAGAUCUGAGAUCACCAAAUACAGCUGCCAGCCCGAGUCCACUUCUGACCGACUGACCUGACCUCCUCGUCUCUGUCCCUCUCUCUGAUGGUCGUCUUCUCGCGACACCUCGAUCCCCGAAUCCCCAAUCCGACAUGUAAAAAAAUCCCCAAUCCGAACCCAAACCCAGAUCUACCAAAAAUCCCCAACUCCAAUCGACCCUCCUCCGUCGCGAUCACCCCUCCCAAUCCGACCCCAAUUCUACCCGAUGCGAUUAGCAGCGGCGGCGUAGCGAACCGGCGCGUUCGCUAGGGUUAGGGUUUCGAGGGUUUGCGCUAGGGUUUGGGUUCGCGAUGGGGCGGUCCCGCGGGGUGCCGAAUUCCGGCGACGACGACACCGGCCACAGGUUCCGCACGUUAACCCGCCUCCCCGAUUUGCGAUUUCGUUAUGCUACCUCGCGCGCGCGGAGGGAUGAGCUGGUGCUGGUUGCAGGUCGAAGCGGAGGAGGGUAUCGUCGAGCGGGGAUGCGACGGACACCAUUUCCGCGGCCAUGGGAGGAGCAGGCGAGGGAGGGGGCAAGAAGGCGCUGUACCACUGCAACUACUGUAAUAAGGACAUUUCCGGGAAGAUACGUAUCAAAUGCUCCAAGUGCCCUGACUUCGACCUCUGCGUCGAGUGCUUCUCCGUCGGCGCUGAAGUCACCCCACACCGGAGCAACCAUUCUUACAGGGUCAUGGUUAGUGUACUCUUGCUUAUGUUAUCUUUGCUUGACUUGAUGUUUUGGGUAGCACUCCACAAAUUUUCAGUUGUGGUACAAUGCUUAUUUGAUUUACCAGCCUCCAAAAUGAGUUGUAAUUUGUAUUAGUCUAGUUAAUGCUAAACUUGCUAAGGCAUGUACAAGCUGCAGCUGUUGAUUGUUUAUUGAAGCAUUUUGAGCUGGUGAGCAAGCUGUUAACAGUUAAAAUUAGAAGUUCAGAGCCGAUCGCUACCUAAGUCAAAAUGUAAAGCAGAUAAGUGUAGCGCCCAAGGUUUAAUUGACACAAACAUUCAUCCUUUUUGCCCUUGCUUGCUGCAGAACAUUCGGGCUUAUUAUUCGUUAACCCCAAGUAAACUCAUCCUUCUAGCCUUGCUUAUCCAAAAUGUUAUAUGGUUUCAUCAUUUCUUAGCCAAACUGCAUUUUACUUUAAUCCUUUCUCAACCCAGUAGUAGCUAAUUUAAAAAUCGUAACUAAUAUCUAUAUGAGCACUUAAACACUUAGUGUUGUAUCCUGUGAAGGUUGUUAUUCCUGAUGAUGUCUUGACUUGAAUGUUGUUUUGCAACAGGACAACCUGUCCUUCCCACUUAUUUGCCCGGAUUGGAAUGCAGAUGAAGAAAUCCUCCUUCUUGAGGUACUGAUAUGUCUGUUUGGUACAUUUACAUCCUGGGAAUUGUAAUUUGAUUGUUUACCCAUCAUGAUUGUAGGGAAUUGAAAUGUAUGGUCUGGGAAACUGGCUUGAAGUUGCAGAGCAUGUUGGUACCAAGUCGAAGCAACAGUGCAUUGAUCAUUACACAACAGCAUACAUGAACUCACCUUGUUAUCCCCUCCCUGUAACUAUUUUCUCUACCUGUUUAUAGAUCAAUAAGUUACCUGGUACUGCUUAACUCAAUGCAACGUCAUGAUUGUAGGAUAUGUCGCAUGUUAAUGGCAAGAACAGGAAGGAACUUCUUGCUAUGGCUAAAGUACAGGGUGAGAGUAAAAAAGGUGAGUCAAAAUUUAUUCUUAGGUGAUGGAAACAAUCAGUACAUUUUGUUGUGCAUUUGAAGCCUUGACUUAGUGGGAGAUAUUUCUUACUGUCCAGUCAUCAGGUUUGGUUCAUGCUUGCUGACCUAGUUUAGGGGGUGUUUGGGAACACACUCCUAAACUUUAGUACCUGUCACAUCGGAUGUUUGGACACUAAUUAGGAGUAUUAAAUAUAGUCUAAUUAUAAAACUAAUUGCACAGAUGGAGUCUAACUCGCGAGACGAAUCUAUUAAGCCUAAUUAGUCCAUGAUUUGAUAAUGUGGUGCUACAGUAAACAUUUGCUAAUGAUGGAUUAAUUAGGCUUAAUAGAUUCGUCUCGUGAAUUAGUAUAGGGGUUCUGCAGUUAGUUUUAUAAUUAGCUCAUGUUUAGUCCUCCUAAUUAGCGUCCGAACAUCCGAUGUGACCCUCCUAAAGUUUAGUAGCUCGUAUCCAAACACCCACUUAGUAUAUGUUAGUUGGUCAUAGGUGAUGUGAUUUAGUGUUUUAGGUGGAAUUUGUAUUGCAGUAUCCGGUCGUUGGCUACAAUAUAACAUGUGUUUGGUCACUUGCUGUUUGUCUUCACAUCUUGAAAUAUUAAGGCUGUGUUUGCCAUUGUGGUGUCUUGGCAAAAACACUUCUACUUUGGAUCGGUAUACAUUUUUGGGAGCGAUGGCACCACAACCGUACUGGAAAUCUCAUAACUAACUAUUCCUUAGUGUAUUUGGUCUUAACCCCAUUAUAGGACAUGUUUUAGUGGGCUAUCCAUCCAACUGCAGUAUGUUACUUUCAAACGGAUGUAUGAUUUUUUAAAUGAAAAAUUUUCCUGUGUUGAUCUCAUAUCCACGUACGUUAAUUUGUGGGUUGUGGGUCUAACGGAAAGAAGAAUGAUAGUAUGCACAUAUAUCAGCAUGCUCAUUACCCCAAUACUGUCAGCGGCAGCAGCACCAUCUCUGUGUGUAUGCACGGGCAUGAACACAAGAAUCUACACACAUGCACGAGCUGAUAAUCAAAUAACACUGCUGCUAUAAGUUUUUUUUAUAUUGGUAACUCUGUAAUGAUUCCGAUUGUCGGGACGCCAAUUACUUUCUAACUGCUGCUCUGUAUUAUUCAAUUAUAAAAAGAAGAAUAACAACAGUAGGUAGAUAUUUGAAGAGAAGAUAUCUUACUAUAUUGGCUUGUUUGUAUAUCUCAUCUUUCUUCUUUGUUCAUGUAGGGACUUCGCUGUUACCUGGCGAACUGACUCCUAAGGCUGAAUCUCCAUUUUCUCCCUCCAGGGUCAAGUAUGCCAUUAUUUAUCUAUGAAUACCUAUGAAUAUGUCACUUAAGCUUCAAAGAGGCUUGUUACCAGCUAGAUCUUGCAUAGGUUGGAAGAAGCACUUGGUGAUGGUCCUGCAGGUCGAUCUCCUUCGCACAUGGCUGGUGGUAUGUAUUGGAAAUGACCAAUUAGACCGACCAAUCCUGUAACAGUGCAUCCUUGGUCUACGUCUAGAAAUGUUUUCAUAUUGUGCUAAUUCUGGCUUCUGGUUGAUCUACUGCAGGUGCAAAUAAAAAAGCUUCAAAUGCUGGACAGAAUAAAGAUGGUGCUAACAUAUCAAAAGUUGAAGGUAUCAUAGAUGAAUACAUCAUUGUUAUUUUCUAGUUUUUAUGUUCACUCAGCACCCAGGUUCUCAAUGCCCUUGUGUCAAUAAUAACACCAGUUUACUGUUCUCUUACCAGUGACGAAUGGGCAAAUUAAAUUGAAAUAAAACAAUUCUUAGAAUGUGUUCGUACGGUUUUAAAUUUUAGAGAUGUUUUCAUCAAGAAUGUCAUAUUCUUAAGAAUGGAAUGCUCAAGAUUAUUGCUAGUGCUAUAUCCUUUUCUUUAAUUAUUAAAUGGGUUUUUUUGUGCUGGAAAUAUAUAAGAAAUGAAAUGGAGAUACAUGAUCUCUUUAUGGUGUGGUCUGAAGUGGAGAAUGUGUUUCCUUUUUUAAUUAAAGCUGUUGGAAGUAUUGUUUUACCUUCACAUUACUGCCUAAACUACAUGUUGAUCCUUGGCAUAUUUAAUUUGUAUGUGCCAGAUGGUCAUGUUGAUAGAAGUGUUGGUGUGAAGAAGCCCAGAUAUUCUGCAGAUGAAGGCCCUUCUUUGACUGAACUGAGUGGAUACAAUUCAAAGAGACAUGAGUUUGACCCAGAGUAUGAUAAUGACGCUGAACAAGCGCUUGCUGAGAUGGAAUUUAAAGAAACUGACUCGGAAACUGAUCGUGAACUGAAACUCCGUGUGCUGCGUAUUUACUUGUCCAGGUUCGUUCAGAGUGAAGCAAUUCUUUUGUUCCUACUAAGCAGAAAAAGCUGUAUUAUUGUGGUAACUUUUGUUCAAAAUGCUUUAGUUGCUGAGUUAAUAGUGUAAGUAUGUUUGUAUGUUUAUUUCAUUGAUUAGAAUGUUUAAUAAUGCAAAGUAACUGUUGCUUUUGUAGGCUUGAUGAAAGGAAAAGGAGAAAAGAGUUCAUAUUGGAAAGAAAUUUGUUAUUCCCUAAUCCCUUGGAGAAAGAUCUUACAAAUGAAGACAAGGAAGUUUACCAUCGCUAUAAGGUAUUCAUGCGUUUUCUUUCCAAGGAGGAACAUGAAGCCCUUGUUAGGAGUGUCAUAGAAGAGCGAAAAAUUCGGAGGAGAAUUCAAGAGCUUCAGGUAUUGUUUUUGUUCAUUGCCUUCUCUUACUGAAUCAACUACAGCAAUUAUUUCUCAUUCUUUUUAUAGAAUGAUUGAAUUUGGAGUUCCACGGUCAAUCUGCUAGAACUAUUUGUUCAUGGAUCGACAUCUUUAUAUAUGUUUGUGCUACAUGAAGCUGAGAAAGUUAUUGUGGAUAGAUUUACAUGCAAAGGAACACAUAUUAAAUGCAACUGGAAAUGUUGGCUGAGAACUAAUCCUUUCUAAAUUCCUUGCCACAAAUGUUUCCUUUUUGCUCUUAGUAGGUAGGUUACAUGUGCCACAAAUGUGCAAUGAUCUGAAAAACUGCCUCAAACAAGAGAAUAUUAAACUAGCAGCACAGUUUCUUUUCUAUUAAACAAAAUAAAAGAUAAAGUAGUGCCAAAAUUCUGUGGCACAUUGAAUUUGUACUUUGUGAACCAUUCCUUAUUCGCAUAGAUGGUUUGUAGGUCUGCACAUAGUGCAGCAUUCAUAAUUUCUUAAUUUCAUUUGGCUUUCUCUUGUAUUCCCACUUGUUCCACCGCACCCACCCAUUGGCCCAGCCAAUUAUCAGUUUGUUGUUUUAUUCUUAUGAACUGCACUACAUUUCCAGACGUUCUUGUGGGGCGAACCUGAUGAUAUUUUAGUGCACUAACAUUACAUGUUUGAUAUUUCAUCUUGGAAGUUGCGCUUGAGUUCUUCUAUAGUACAGUCUUGACUACAUUUUUUUUACUAGGCUUCGCAUAUGAAGGAAGCUUCCUUUUCUUUUCCUGGAAAACAUGCAAUAGAAUGAAUUUGUGCUACUGAUCAAUCUUGUUCUUGACAUUUGAUAUUGGUUUUUUUGAGGAAGUUCUGUAGAACACUACCGACAUGUGUGUCUUCCCUUAAGGUUCUAGUAGCAUCAAUUUGUUCCGUUGUGCAAAUAUAAAUGUGAUUGUUUACUUUUAUUUUGUUGACUCUCAGGAAUGUCGUUCCGCUGGAUGCCGUACACUAGCUGAAGCAAAGAUACACAUAGAGCAAAAGAGGAAAAAGGAAUACGAGCUAAAUGCCCAAAAAGCUAAGGAAAGUGGCCAACUUAUUCCAAAUAACAAAUCAGUACAAAAGAUGAAUCGACCUGUAAAAAUUGAGUCUGAUGGGAAUUUGGAUCCAAAGAAAGGUGGUGCUGGCUUAGAUUCUCCUAAAACCACAGGACUUACAAGUGUGAAGCAGUGGGAUGACUGGGAUAUAGUUGGUCUUCCUGGGGCAGAGUUAUUAAGUGCUAGCGUAAGUGCAUCUGAAAUCCAAGUGCCCUGUUCGAUGACUCAUGCUCAUUUCUGCAUAUUAGUCCUGUGGUCUUGUUCAUGCGUUUUGUAUUUGUUACAGUAAAAGAAUGAUCCAUCCGUUUUAUUUCAGGAAAAGCUUCUAUGUUGUCAGAACCGAUUGCUGCCCAGUCAUUAUCUGAGAAUGCAGGAGGUGCUGAUGCAGGAGAUAUUCAAGGGUAGUGUACACAAGAAAGAAGAUGCUCAUGUCUUAUUUAAGGUUGAUCCUACCAAAGUAGAUACUGUUUAUGAUAUGGUAACAAAAAAGCUGGGCAACCAUGAGGAGGCUCCGACUGUCUAGCUAUGCUUGACUUGCCAAAAAAACCAAAUAUUGGUUUCUCCUCCGAACCAUAGCUGAAGGUGGAGGCUGUAGUAAAAUUGAGUCGACCAUAGUUAAAACCUGAAAUUUGUGUCAUUGUCUGAAGCACAAUAAGGCAUUCCGGCCAAAUUGUAAAAUUAUCGAGCCAACGAGAAUGUGUAGCAUGAGUUGCCAUUGCAGUUCUUUCCUCGAGGAUAGUCGCCAUUGUUGAGAGUUUACUGUUGCAGAUGUGCUAGUGCCUUGUUGUAGGUAUAGGGCCUGAGUUUAUGUAUCAUCGUGUAUGUAACAUUGUCGCCCUAUUUUUAUGCCAUUGUAUCAAUAUCAGACAUUGAUUAUUAAAAUUCCAUCUUGCAGCCAAAAUGUUUUCCGUCUGUAUUGGGAUGCUUUUGCAUCUUUGUUGUGCUUGUUGGUUCGGUCAAGAGCAGAGCCUUCAGCUAGCUCUUGGCUGUCCAUUCUGUUGAAGAAACCAAUACUCACCAUCACGAGAUGGACCUUUAACCUUUUACAUCACGAGAAGCUGAAUUCUUGACACGAAAUGCUCUGAUUUUGCAACUUAACGGACAGGGACACAGCUCCUCAUUAAACUGUAGAGUUUUGGUUGCCAGACCUGAGUGUUGCAAUCGACUGUACUGCGGAGCCGACUGUCUUCUAGGCUGAAACGUCACACCUGUUACACGUUUGGUUGUUUUAUAUGCAAACAUGUCAAAACUACCGUAAUUUCAUCCGAGUGAUCUCGUGGUCGCUCAAAAGAUAGUCAUGCAUACUUUUUUUAAAAAAAAAGAAAAUUAUGGGAAGCCUUCCUUUCAAACAAAAAAAAGGUGGCAGCCAAGCCAACCGUGCUUUCUCAAAGAAGUAUUUCGAGGAACAUUAUUACCAGUGCAGGACCUGCUUGGCCAUUAUCGUCUUGUUGGUACGUCCAUUUUAUGCACGAACCACGGAAACGCCGUGGAAGAAAAGGGAAGAGCCGAGACACGUGCCGGAGGGAUGGGAUCAUGUGAGCACUCCGUGGGGGUAGUUGGCAUGUGUGGAGCGCGCACGGGCUGCGACGGCCGCGCGCACCCUGUUUCUUUCCACGGCGAAAUAUACAAAGCCCCCGGCAGCCUCGGCGCGACGAAGUGAUGACCCGGGACCCCUCUCCUCCUCGCUGAGCGAAACCCACCUCCACCAGUGGGCGCGGGGGCGCCUGCGCGCAGCGGAGAAACCCAAGCGGCGCGAGCGACCGAGAGGAGGAGGCGCGCGCGGGGGACGGGAGGGAUCGAGAGCGGGGAUGGCGUCGCCGGGGGUGGUGGCCGCGGCGCUGGUGGUGGCGGCGGUCGCGGCGUUCUGCGGCACGGACCCGCUGCGGAUGGGCAGCAUGGUGGACUUCCCGGGGUUCGAGGCGCACUUCGUCGACCUCCCGGACCCGGCCGAGAUGCCGCCGCACGCGGACGCGCGCGAGCGGCUGCGCAGCGCGGAGGUGCGGUUCCGCGGCGAGGUGCAGGGGCCCGAGAGCGUGGCCUUCGAUCCGCGGGGCCGCGGGCCGUACACGGGCGUCGCCGACGGGCGGGUCGUCUUCUGGGACGGCGAGCGGUGGGCGCACUUCGCCACGGCGUCCCCGCGCUGGACGCAGGAGCUCUGCGGCGGGCCCAGGGCGUCGCCGCUCGAGUACCUCCCCAACGAGCACAUCUGCGGCCGCCCGCUCGGGCUCCGCUUCGACAAGAGGACCGGGGACCUCUACAUCGCCGACGCAUACUUCGGCUUGCUCAAGGUCGGGCCCGAGGGCGGGCUCGCCACGCCGCUGGCCACGGAGGCUGAGGGCGUGCGCUUGAACUUCACCAACGACCUCGACCUCGACGACGAGGGCAACGUCUACUUCACCGACUCCAGCAUCCACUACCAGAGACGGUCUGUGAUGCCAUGCCCCUCUCCCCUCCUCUGCUUUGCUUAGCUGCUGUUUGCCUGUUUCAUUUUCAUCUCACUGUGUUGGUUGGUUAGUGAUAGACCUGGGUCCUGUUUGGUCUGCAUCUAAAACUGUCAUCUACUAUAGUAGCCAAGCUAAAUUUGGUACGGCCAAAAUUUGGCCACCAAAUUGAUGCCGUCAUUUUGGCCAACUUUGGCCAUCAAGUAAAAAUAGGGUAGCCAAAGUAGAGGGUGAUCAUGCCAAAUUUUGUCACCAAACCAAAUGGUGGCCAAAAUUGGGCAGAGUGGCCAAAGUUUGCCUUGUGCAGCUUGGGCACAUUUAGGCACCAAACCAAGCAAACCGUAAUGAUGCCGAAUCGGUGAUCUGAAACAUGAGGAUCCUAUAACUGGGUUAGUUGUCCAUCUAUCAUCUUGACUGCUGAUUUAUGGGGCAGUAUAGUUUCCCGCUAAUCCUUUUUUAAACCGCAUUGAGCUUUGAUCCCCUUCCCAUCGUAGAAUCUCGUGCUUUCCAACAGAACAAUGAAAAGGAGUAAAGGGGUCAAUGUAAAAACCUAAAAUGGAGCAAUUGCCUCUUUGGGGAGAACAGUUCUAUUUUUUUUUGAAAUUGAGAACAGCAGUUCUAAUCUGACUUUUACCUAUUUUAGUGUCUACUGUGUCUUCAGGUGUGCCGACUGUUCUACUUCUAUGUAAAAUUCACCUGUUUUAGUGUCUAUUAAUGUGCCUUAAGGCACUAAUCUGUUUUCCACUGUUUUAUCGGGAAAGCAUACAAUGCCUCAAUUUCCAAACAAGUCCACUAGAUCUAAGUCACCUUGGAUCUUGUAAAACCUAGAGAUAGGUUGUUUGAAGUAUGUUCUGUAGCUUAUCAGUAAGCUUGGUCAUUCAUUUGCAGGAAUUUCAUGCAGUUGGUUUUCUCUGGAGAUCCCUCUGGGAGGCUUUUGAAAUACAACCCGCAGACAAAGGAAACGACAGUACUGCACCGCAACCUCCAAUUUCCCAAUGGUGUGUCCAUGAGCAAGGAUGGCUCAUUCUUUGUCUUCUGCGAAGGAUCGCGCGGCAGGUCUGUAUUCUCUUCCUUACAUCUGGUUUAAGCUUUCUUCAACUUUAUAUCAGGCACUGAAUGUUUGUGUUCUUGUGGAGACAGGUUGAGCAGAUACUGGUUGAAAGGCGAGAAGGCAGGCACCGUGGAUCUCUUCGCCAUCUUGCCUGGAUUCCCAGACAAUGUGCGGACCAACGAGAAGGGCGAGUUCUGGGUGGCGAUCCACUGCCGGCGCAGCCUGUACGCCCGGCUCAUGAGCCGCCAUGUCAAGCUGAGGAAGUUCUUGCUGAGCCUCCCGAUCCCCGCCAAGUACCAUUACCUGAGUCAGAUCGGCGGCAGGCUCCACGCGGUGAUCAUCAAGUACAGCCCCGACGGCGAGGUGCUGGACAUCCUGGAGGACACCAAGGGGGAGGUGGUGAGAGCCGUCAGCGAGGUGGAGGAGAAGGAUGGGAAGCUCUGGAUAGGGUCCGUCCUGAUGCCGUUCAUCGCCGUCUUUGACCUCACCAAGGCGUCUUAGCCGCCCCGGUCGUAUUCCAUCGAUCCCAAUAAUUUGGUGCUACAGCAAACUGGAGCUGUUUGACUCCCCUGCCCUUUUUUUAGUACUAGCAAUGUAAGUUGCUGACGUUUUAGAUUCCCCCUCGAACUUUUAGGAAUGAUGAACAGCUCGUGUUUUAUGAAUCCAGAUUUGUCACGUGUGUUCCUGGCUUCGAAUCUUCGAUCUGUUCCAAUUUGUAUUUGGUAAUGCAUGCGUAUAUAUAGUUUUAAAAGAAGAGAACCAUCUUUUCUCAUCGUCGUAUAUUUAUAUUUGGUAAUGCCAAAAAUAAUUUAAGGCGCAUCAGGAUCUUCGAAAGGGCGCAAGUGUGAAGAGCAUGGUGCCGGAUCUUCUACGGUCGCGGGCGGGGAUCGAAUCCACGGGUCCAGCCGGCGACGGACGCCACGAGAAACAUCCAAACGGGGAUGCACAAUGCAACGUAUCGCAAAAAGGCACGCAGACGAGGGAAAAAAAACUGCAUCGAUGAUGAACUGUGAUCUGUUAUGAUUUAUGAACUUAUUGAUUAGCUUAACAAUCACAAAUGACAGAUUGUUCGAACACAACUUUCAGAUUCCACCGUUCCAGUUCCAGCAUUUGCUGGCUUACAUGGGGGACCAGGACCUGUAUCCCAUGCUGCUGCAUCUGCCGGUGUGGUCCAAGGUGUCCAAGCCCAAAACAAUGGCGUACGAAUCCAACAGUCCCCAAUCCACACGGGACAGAUUCGCACGUGUCGAUCAAGAACAAGUGCACGGCCAGACGCACGAUGCUGCUGCAUCGACUGGCACCCCACCAAGAACGCUCGAAGCCUCAAGAACUCAUCGAGUGAUUGUUGGCGAUUUGGCGUGCUUGUGUCUACUCGCUAUAACACCCAGCAAAAUUGCGAGGAGGAGAGGGAGAGGAGGCGCGCGCUGCCUGGCUGCUACUGGUGGCGCAUGGAGGCGGAGGAGCUGGAGCCGGAGGAGACGGUGCGCCAGAAGCCGGCGCCGUAGAACCGGGAGCUCAUGAUCUCGCGCUCGAACUCCGACACCGCCGCCGCCGCCUCCUCCUCCUCGGUCUCCAGCGGCGACGAGGCCGCGCCGAUCAUCGCCUUGCCGCUGCUCCCGGACGGCGACGCGGGCUCCGCCACCGCCGCCGCCGACCGCUUCUUGCGGCUGACACGGUGGCGCCUCCUCCUCCGCCUCACCCGCCGCAUGACGCCCGCGGGAAGCUUGACGGUGACGAGCAGCAGGACGUCGAGCAGCGCCAGCGGGCAGCAGCAGCAUACCGCCGCGCAGUUGGCCGCCGCCUGCCCCGCCCCCUCCCCGCACCCCGGCUGGGGCUCAUGCUCCUCCUCCUCCCCGUGCCGCCCGUACUCGCGCAUGCGCCCCCCGCUUCCCCGCUUGAUCACGAGCCCCGCCCGCCGCCGAUGCUUCUGUUUCUUGGGAGUCCUUACCGCCCCGGACAAGGCGACGCCGGCUGCCAAAACAACCUGCCAAGAAUCUACGCAAGAUAUCCUCCUACUCUCGGAUGCACUGGUAUGUACUAUUUAGAGACGAUCUUUAUUGGUUGGUGGUGGAGGAGAGAGAGAGGGAGGAAGACGAGGAGGAGGAGAUUGUGGCGGCGAUGGCGUGCGUGGCGUCGGGCUUCCUUUUUCUUGCUCGCCAGGGAGGGGAAGAAAAAAUCAAUCCCCAAUUUUCCUUCACCCGUCCGCCGGAUGGCGACCGCGAAACGGGAAAUCCAGGAAAAAAAGCAUUACAUUUUCGUCGGAACACGGCGGGCUUCUGACGUUGGCCCGCCGCACGCGGCGAUGCCACGGGGGACGCGAUAGGGACGGCCGUCGCGUGCCGACCGCGGAUGGGUGGAGUCCGAGUCGGCUGCUCGCUGGACGCAGUGGCUCCGGCUCAGGACGAGCGCCGCCGCAGCCGCGUGCGCACGCGGCCCGGGCUGUGGAAUCCGACGGCGGAGGACGCUUUGCCACGAAGGAUUCGCGGUUCUCUCUCCUCCCUGGUGUAGACGACGGGAGAUUGAUUUGCGUGCCGCACCCCCCCCAGGCGGUGUGGACGUGUGGUCGUGUGGAUGCCUGGAUGGAUGAUUUGGAUGGUGGUGUCCGUCUUGUGGCGUGAUCGAUUGAUUGGGUCAAAUGGCGGUGGUUGUGGUCUAAACUCUAGGGCUGCAAGGUUGCGCCACUUGGUUGUUUCGAUUAAGAAAAUGGCAAAAAUGCCAGCUGGACAUCGGUUUCAAUCGGUCAGCUGCUGGUCAGUGAUUCAGUGGAGCAAGAGGCAAAUUAAGCAACGGGACGAGAGCUGAAGAAGCUUCCACAGAAGUCGAAAUUACCUUAGUGCUAGUUAACUAGAACCUGUCACAUCAGAUGUCUAAUACUAAUUAGAAGUAUUAAAUAUAAUCUAAUUAUAUGGAAUCUAAUUUGCGAGACGAAUCUAUUAAGCCUAAUUAGUCCAUGAUUUGACAAUGUGGUGCUACAGUAACCAUUUGCUAAUAAUAGAUUAAUUAGCUUUAAUAGAUUCGUCUCGCGAAUUAGACUCCAUCUGUGCAAUUAGUUUUAUAAUUAGCUUAUGUUUAGUCCUCCUAAUUAGCAUCCGAACAUCCGAUGUGACCCUGCUAAAAUUUAGCACCUCGUAUCCAAAUACCCCAACACGUCACCAGGCAGUCUAGAGGAUAAAAAACAAAGAAACAUUCGCCAGACGCCCAGACGCUAGAAGACACAACGAGCUAUACGGACAUGGCACACUAUUUCCAGCAGCAGAACACACUCGUGUUGUAUAGCUUUCCACAAGAACUAGUAUAAAAGCAUCCACCCGAAUUCAGAUUAACUUACGAUACAAGUCCACUCACUGGCUGUUAUUAGUCUAGAGAGUUACAGAAACUAGAUGUCAAGCCUCCAUGUAUUCGGUAUCAUGUCAACCCAGUUCCUGUCCUGCACCUAUAAGUUUACACCGAAGGACCUGUUUAUGACUUGAAGCUAGCCCACCAGAGGAUAGGUGGCCACAAGAAGAAGAAAAAAAAUCAGGACGUUGCCAUCCUACAAAGCAUAUUACUACAAGUAGCAGCAUGCCAGCAUCUCAUCGCUGACGUCUUGCUACGAAUGUAACUGAGCAGAUGAAGACAAGACAGUAGCCUGUCAGUCGGUGGAAUCUGAGGCUAGUCGCGCAGGUUCACAAAUUUGCUUGGCUGUCGAGAAGCAAAAGCUGCUUAGCUUCAGCGACAUGGAUCCGGACGGCUUCAAGAUCCGUUGCCACCUUUUCGCUAACGGGUAGCAUGGAUUGAUCCAGACUGCAAGAGGUUAAGCUUCUUCCGUCCUGCAGAAGCUCACCCAGCUCCCGCAUCGCUUGAUUUAGCUUCAAGUGCAGUUCAUCCAGGCCCCUGGCUUGAUGCUGCAAGGACUCCUCACACACCUUGAUCUCUUCCUCCUUCAAGUUCACAUGGAAAACACAGUCCUGGUAGUCAAUCAGCAAGGCCUCCAUGUUCUUCGCCUCACCCUCCCAAACCUCUGUCAACGUGUUGUCACGGAUAAACUUCUCAAUGUCUGCUUCCAGCAAGGAGAGGCAGCAAUCUUCUAUUUCUGUUUCAAGGAGUGCAAUCUCGCAAUCAAUAUAAUCACACUUCUGCAUACUUUUUAUUUCCUUGUGAACCAUGCGAAGCUGUUCACGGGCGUUCUGCAGUUCGCAUGAAAGCUUUAUCCGCUCCUCCUCAGAUUUCAGCAGAUCAGUUGCCUUACUAAAAUUCUUUGGUUUGUGUGUCGAUGCAGUAGAAGUAUCCAGAUUAUCAAUAGCGAACAGAACCUUUUCUUCCUCCUUCCUUUGAGCUUCAUAAGAGCGAAGCUUCAGUUUAAGGCCAUCAAUUUUUCUGCGCAACUCAGUUUCAGAUUCAUGUGCCCUUGUUCUCAUAGCAGAUAGUUGGUUUUUGCGACUUAGGAGAAGAUUCAACUGUUCCUUCUUUUGAUUCAUCAAUGCAAAGUUAGAAUCAAACUUGGAUGAAGCAAUGGCUUUGAUCUUCAAAUCCAAGUUCCAACACGAUGCUGCAGGCAAGAAAUACUUGCCUUCAAAAGUAUCUUUCUUGUCUUGUGAUUCUGACAGUGCAGACUUCAGGGCAUUGGUUUCUUCCUGACCAUGCUGCACGUCUAGACGAUGAAGCUGAAUGCUUGCAGAAAGUUCUUCCGCCUUUCUACUAACCCUUUCGAGUAGCUCAAAAUAUUUUACUGCAUCCUGAGCAGACACAACCUUGUCUUGGACAAGCUCCAGCUUAGUCCGAACAAGCUGCAGCACUUCUUUCAAAGCCAAAAUUGUAGAGUCAUGAACAUGUUUCACUCCAAGAUUCCUAGGAUCUGCAGCUUCACUCAUUUCAACAUCUUUCUCAUCCGACCGAAUCUCUUCUACAGUUUCAGAGUUGCUUUGCUCUAAAAUCUUCCUUUUGAAUUCAUCCCUUUCCUGCAUAGCUUUCUCAUACAAACCCAUAAGUCUAUCAUUUUCCUCGUGCAUCUCUUCCAGCUGAAGACGCAAUUCAGCAGAUGUAUUCCUUGACAAGUUGUCCUCGUUGAUGCAUUUCUCAUCUGCUAUCUUAGAUUCUUCUUCCAUGCUGGAUGAGUUGGGUGCAUGCAAAUCUGAUGGGCCUGCUGGUGGGGCAGUAGGCAGAUCUUCAUUCACAGAGUUUUCUCCAAAAGGAUGACUACCUUGCUGAUCACUUGCAUGUUCAUUUCCAGGAAUGGUAGGCCAGUUUCCAUCUUGAUUUGCCUCAACAUUUACAGUAGCAUGUUCAUACAGAUCAAACAGUCUCUUGUUAUCCUCAAUCAAAACCUUAAGCUGCAUCCUCAAUUCUUCAUUUUCUUUGGCCAAACCAAUUGCAGUUUCAUGAGCUUCUGCUUCCCUUUGACUUGCAGAAGAUAUUGCGUCAACCAAAGUCUUAAGUUCUACCUGAGCAUCAGAUAAGUUAUGUAAACCUGCCUCUCCUUGGUCCUGGAGCUCGACAGCCUUGCAUUCAUUAUUUGUGUCAUCAUGUUUCUUUGUAAGCUCCAACUCUAUGGUUAGUUCAUCAACACGCCUGCACAUUUUUUGGUACGUCAGGUAAUGGCAUCAGAACAAUAGUUUUUUUACUAGGGAUCAGAACAGUAGUUGAUAGCACACAUGCAAGUUCCAUAAAAACAUAAAAAUGAUUUUCUAGUUCCUAGAGAGGGAAAAAAAGAAACAUACACAGAAUGCAAUUUAUCAGGUACAAUCAGCAGCAAUGUUGACAUUGAGAAGUGCAAAUGAAUGAUUUAAUAAAUGGUCUACUGAUUGGCCUUUUCAAACAUUAUGAAUUCUAAUUAACAUUACCGUGCAAAUCCUGAACGACAAGACAUGCUAUAUCUGGUAAAGUGGUACUGGUACAUGAAUACAAGCGAAUCAAAGGCAACAUAGUAAAUGAGUUGAAAAUAACAAACCACAGUGCUUCAGAAUUUUAACCAUCCUAUAUGUGCUCCAACAGAUACACUAUUCUUUACCAUCUUUAUAAUCAUUAAUAUCACAGUGUACUAUGGAAGAAGGAAACAUAUUGAUUAUGAAGCAAUAAAAGCCCUUGUAGCAGCAUGCCAAAGGAAGGAAAAUAGUUAUACCUCUCAAGGUUCUCCUUUGCUUCGACGCAGAAGGUCAAUUUUUUACGUAAUGACUCGAUUUCUCUCUCAUUCUGAAUAGCCUGCAACAAAUUAUAAAGUGGAUUCAGCCACAAACGAACAAGCAUACUAUAAACAAAGGUGUAAUCAGAGUGAUAUUUCACGGGAAGUACUCUAACACCAACCUGCAAACGAAGAAACUCAUUUUCCUCAUCACCAGCUGACUCCCCGAAUAAUGAGAGGCCCUGCACAAUUUAUUAUAAAUCUAAGUCCAUUGACAGGUAAGCGUGUAAUAUUGCUGUGAAGUAAGUAUAACAAAAAAAUGGCUUAGCUAUUAGUUCUAUGUAAGUCAAGGAUUUACUAAUAGACGCACAAGUGACAUCCUACAUUCAGAAUUUUGCGUAUAGUUAUAAGCAAACCUUGUUAACAGGAUCUUUCUCGUGCAUAAGCUUCCAGUCAAGAGCCUCUAGCAGCUGCAAAUCAAGUUAGAGAUGUUGAAUAAGCUCACUACUUCUAGAAAGUAAAAGAGGUAAUAAUUAAAGUUUGCCUCAGCCCCAUCAACACCUAGAUGUACCUUAUCUUGUAAAAUAAUUAUUUGCUCAUGCAUCAUUUCCCGUUCACUUUCAUCAACAAAUGACUGCAACCUGAUUUUUUUUAAGAACAAAUAAAGUGCUGUUAAGCUUCCAACACAAAGCAGAUAAACAAAGAGUCAGACCGAUGAGAUUAUUCAGACAAUAAAUUAUACAAGAAUUGGUUACUCCUUUGCAGCAGUGACACAACAAUGUAAAUUGAGUUGAUAAUCACACAAUAAAAUAUUCAACAAGUUAUAAGUGACUGGUAGCAAUACAAUAAAGAGUUAACAACUGAAAACAACUAAUUCAAACAAUAGUUUAAUCAAGAUUAAAUUAUUCUUUGCCAACAGGGGUGCACGAUCAUUUAAAAUCACUAAGAUAUUAACAGCAAUGCUAACCUUCGCAGCUCUUCUUUUAGUUGUAGGUUCUCCAUUGCAAAUUUCGUUAUUUCUGGAUUGCGAUCUAAUUGAUUCCGCAGGACCUCUAACUCCUUCACAAGGCUUUCCCUCUCUUGCAAAAGAUGCGCUUCAGCAGAUAAUUUUCCUGAAGCAACCUGCUCCAAUCUUUUGAUCCGAUCUUCACGAAACUUGAGCCUCAUCUUGAAACUUCUUACCUCUUCUGUCUUUUGAGCUGCCUGUGCAGAAACAAAACAUUAAGUUAGAAAUACAUGACUACCUGUGCACAUUUUUUCUUUGGUUAUUAACUACAGACCAGCUGUUCAGCAAUCUGCUUUGCAGCUAUUGUUGCCUUCAAUUGUGCUUCCUUCACUUGCUCCCUCCUAAAAGCAGCAACAAGGGCAGCAUCGUAAUCAUUCCUCUGAACACAGCACACCAACAAAACCAAUGUAAGUCCCUGUGAAUCAUAUCAAGUUCUACGAGCAAAUACAGUUAUGAGUACCUGCGUAGUCCUUUUAUCAAAAUUAAGUGGACUGAAUGUGCCAUGACCUUGAUCCCAUUUGAACAUGCUAGGAGACUCACAGACAAAUCCAUGAGAACCAAGGCCUUCAGUUUUAUCAGAACCUACUAGUCCUUGCAAACGGCUAACUUCUUUCUGCAAUAUCGUAUCAAUUUUAAUAUACAUGAUAAAUUAAAAAUUACAAAUGUCAAUGUGAUAGAAUAUUUAGGGAAACAGCUUCCAAUAUACAGUAAAAAACUGAGAAAGCUCAAAGUCAUCUAUACCUUAAGGUUCUGGAUCUGUAAGCGCAUGCUGAGAACAUCACCAGAGGCAUCCUCAUUAAUGAUAGCCUAUGUAGAGUAAUGGUUAGCUGAUGCGUGCAGGAAAAAGAGUUGUAUCAUAAUUAAUAUGCAAAAUAUUGCAUACAUUAUUCCUUAUGUAUUUAGCUCGUUGCGCAAACUUCAAUGUGCUUAGUGUCUCAGCAGCACAACUGGGAAGAAAAGGAGAGUGUCAUAAUAUAUCACGUAGAACUGUUUCAAAAUAGAAGGGCAACUGAAUAGAACAACAGAUCAUAAUUAGGAACCUACCAAUGAGAUGGGCUUAUGUUUGCAAUUAUAGUCGUCUUUGAAUUUCCUCCUAGGGAAUCCUAUAAAGCAGAGAUAGAACAUAAGCAAAAGUUUUAUCAUAAAUGGACCGUAAUGCAAAUUUGAAUUGAAAUUUUUUCAAAUUCAUAAUAGCUCCUUAGCCUUCAACUUACAACAUGAGAACUUUUGUUGUCUCAGUUUUGCAUAUUACCUGGAGGAGGAAUGUUAAUUUUGAAUCUCUGUAGGGAACGUGGUGUGAUUUUUUGUUUGAUACAGCAAUGAGGUUCGUAAUGACAAGUCUGCAAGAAUGCCAAAGACCAAAUAGUUUUAAAAGAAGUGUAAUGCUUUGAGAAUCUGGCUUAGUGCGCUAAGUUCAUAAAAAACAUGAAACAUUUACUUUAGUCUAAGGUAUAUGUUAGAAGAUGAUCAACUAACCCCAAAGUUGAGAGUGACUUGUUGAUGUUGGUAGCUUCCUUCAAGCGCUCUCCUUCAGCACCUGAGCUCUUUUGCCUGCACAGCAGAAGCCAUGCAUGUUGAAUUUGAAGGUGAAAGAGAAUGAAAAAAAAGUGUGUGCUCGCACUAAAAAUCUAUUAAAGUCGUAUCAAAUAAUUAUAGACAGUGCUACUUGAACAACUUACCUCUCUGAGCCCGCAAGAUCAACAAGGUUGAGCCGAGAAAAUCGAUGGUGGUUGAUACCUUGCGACUCCCACUAAAUGGUUAAUUUCAAGAGUGAGUAAAGGGAAACACAUAAGUGAUGUUGCCCACAAUAACAUGAUUGCAUGUACAACAUCAUCUUAACAUAGAAAGAUCUUUGGAAAUUAUUUAUUUCAUAUACCUUACUCUCUAUAAGGCAAGUGAAAACACUGUGAGAGCGGCUACUUGCUCGGUUCAUAUUGGUGGCUGCUACCUUUCUGUUUGCUGCCCCCUGAAAAUAAAAUGCAGAAUGUCUUAACUCUUAAGGUUUGAUUCAUGUACUGAGUCUUAAACUUGGGUACCAUACAUUAAAGUGACUUGGGCAAUCAUUGAUUGUUGGGCAAUCAUUGAUUGCAUUUGAAGCUGGUAAAAAAGAUCCAAGCUUCUAACAAUCCCAACUACAGAGAUAAACCUCAGCAGAACACAAGAAAAAAAAUGCAAACAUUUUAUCAACUAACCUCAAUAAGUUGUUGAAGCGCUUCUCGAGCAUUGGAGAUCUCAUGUUCCGUCAAAUUCUCAACAUGGACACCCUUUUUGGCAUCCUCUCUUAUCUGCAAGAAAGCAACCGGAGCUAAUCAGCUCAUUGUUUUUAGAAAUACGCAAGAAAGAAAAAGCAGUCAAUACUAAAUGAACAGGAGGUAUGAGUAGUCUAGGCAUAACUUGAACAGAAGAUGAAAAAACAAUAAAGAUCUGUGUAACAGAAACCUUGCAUGAUACUUACCUGCAAGUUUACGGAAUUUGGGUUGAGCAGAUCAAGAAUAUGCUCAUUAUAUAUCUCCAGAAAAGAGCAUUUACAUGUAAACCUGAGCUUUUCAUCUCUCCUUAUUUCCUUUUCCUGCAAACAGUAGCGAAGAACAUAGCUAAUAAAAUUAACAUGACAUGUCAGCCAAAUGCCAAAAUGAGGCAUCAGAAAAGCAACAGAUCGUAGAGACUUGCCUUUUGGAUUCUAGCAAAGAGAUGCUCGAACACUCGAGGCGUCAUACCACAAUUCGCAUUGUUCCUCCGUGUCCCAUUUUCUAUAUCACCAAGCAUUGUAUGUGUCUUUCCACUUCCAGUCUAGCAAAAGCAGAUACGAAGCGUUGAAAGAUAAACAGAGAAUUGCACAAUUUGUGCCUGUGGCACCCAAAAACCUUGAGAAUCUGCAGCAUCAAGUGAAACCUGUUGCUAACCUGCCCAUAAGCAAACAUGCAGCUGUUGUAGCCAGAAAUGCAGUUUUCCACCAUGGGCACUCCAGCAACCUUGAACAUAUUCUCCUGAAGAGCACCAAAUGAGGAGCAGUUAUACAUUUUGCACAAAUAAGUAAGUCAGAAGAAGCAAAUAGAUGCGAAUAAUUGGGAAUCGAGAGUGUCAAGAGCACCUGCGUGACAUGCUCGUCCGCGACGAGAUCAAACGUGAACCGAGACUCAGGAUGUCCAGUCCAUGUAAGACUCUGGCUACUAUCCUGCCGGACGCACCUCUUCUGCCCCUGCAGCGAUAUCUCGCUGCCGUUGAGCGGCCGGAUACGGAUCACAACCUGCAGAUUGGAGCAGUUCAGCAACCACCGAUAGGUACUCGACGAAAUGCCCGCGGACACAGCCGCUCGAGCCGGCCGAAUUAGACCGGGGCACUGCCGCUAAUGGAGUAGAAAGUGCGCGGGAGAAGGGGAGGAGGCAGCUCGCAGCGAGGCGGAGGAAACCCUACCUGCACGUUGUUGUCCUUCCAGAAGGCGGGGUCCUCCUGGAGCUCGAACCGCGCGGGGGAGGGGGCGACGCUCGCGCCGCCGAGCUCGUCGUCGAAGCCGUCCGACGGCAUCGCGGGUGCAGCGGAGGCGGAGGAGGACUUCCGCGGCUGGGUGGGGCGGAAACAGAGGAGGCGGCAGCUGAGAUGGGGUCUUGGUUUGAAAUGGGGAGCGGAGGCGAGGAGCCGUUGGCCAAUUUUGAAAUUGGGGUCGCGUCCAGCGUCCACGCAGCAGCGCGAGGCCGUGAGUGUGGGGGACUGGGCGACUGGCGGCCUUGAAGUCGAAAGCAAGACAAUCGUCCAGAUCGGUAGGCUUUGAAUGGAGUACAUAAAUGAAAAUUCAAAAUUUUCAUUUAAAAAAUCGAAAUAUGGAGCACGUGUUCAUCUUCUUGAAAUAUUUUGCCGGCGUGUUCAUGAAAGAUUCAUUAAUAAUACUACCAAACAAACGUGCCUACUUGUGUUUUUUUUAAAAACAAUACAGAAUUGUUUCUACGAACAACUUCGAUAAUACGGUAUCGCUAUACUACUUUAAAUUAAAGAUGAAAAUGCUACAUUUUAUAAAUAAUCCUUAAUAUAGUUUCUUUUGGUAUUUAAAAAUAUUUACAUACACGUGCAUACAUUCAUUUGUAUGAAUACAACUAUGGUCUAGAAUCGUGCGGCGAGGCGCGUCCCGCUUCUUGCGUUGUCAUAUUAAAAAUUGAAGCGUGCGUUGUGAAUAAGCGCUCACCACAUUACGCCACCGCGGGAGACGCGGUCUCAGACAAGAUUUUAUAUAAGCAUACAAAUCCUACACUUAUUACCACCUCUGAGAGUUUGGCACCAAUGAAUAUUGAGAUUGACAAAGUCAACACAUACAUCACAAUCUAUCCCUAUAAUAAUAUUACCGUUAAUUCUUUGAAUAUGUAUCUAAGAGAUGUUGAAUCCGAGUGGUCAGGUUCUACCACAAUCCAACCGAAUGAGCUACUCUUAGUUCGCUAUGGUUAUUUUUAUCGAACAGUUACAAACUACACCAAAUAAUAUGUUUGCAACUUUUGCAACAGUCUAGCUAAUGGCUCGUAUAUCAUCAACCUUAUUUUGAAAGAAAAGUAAGAACGCUGCUGAUGCAUUUAAGGAGAAAGCAGUACAUACAAGUUUACAUAUAACAUAAAAAAACUCAUGGUCAGUUGUAACAAGAGGCGAAAAACUGAACAAAAAAAUUUACAUACAACAUAAAAAAACUCAAGCUCAAGCCAAAUAACAACAACAGGCGGAAACUGGGAAAAAAAGACGCGCCAGGUAGGGGUCGAACCUACGGCCUUCUGCUUAGGAAACAGACGCUCUAUCCACUGAGCUACAGGCGCCUUGUGUGGUGUCACAUAGAGAUAAUGGUUAUUGUUUGCAUCUAAUUGCAGUGGGCCGUUUUCAGGUCCGAAGAGGACCCUUCGAGAAGCCGUCGGAACGGCGGCGGCGGCAAAGGGAGAAGAGCGAAGAGCGCCGCAGCCGCCGAAGCACCGAGAGCGAGAACAACUCAACUCGCCAGCCAUGGCGCUGCUGAUGGAGCCCGGCACCGAGCCCCUGACCGAGAGCGAGCAGGCCGACCUGGCGGGCAUCGCCGCCAUCAAGGAGUCGGCGGCGCGCGAGUUCAAGGAGCAGGGCAACCAGUUCGUCCGGAUGGGCCGGAAGCACUACGCCGAGGCGGUCUCCUGCUACACCAAGGCCAUCGCCCAGAUGGAGCCCCUCACCUCCCUCGACGCCGCGGCCGCCGCCGACGCUUCCGUCCUCUUCGCGAACCGCGCCCACGUCAACCUCCUCCUCGGCAACCACCGCCGGGCCCUCGACGACGCCGAGCAGGCCAUCGCCCUCUCCCCCUCCAGUGUCAAGGUAACCGUCCCUUAUUGCUUUAGUGCGUUUUGGAUCCAGUGGAGGAGCUGGCGGCGUGAUGUGAGAUGUUCUUGUAGCUAGGCGUACUACCGGGCGGUGAAGGCGGCGCUUGCGCUCGAUUUGUUGCCGGACGCCGCGUCCUUCUGCCGGAGAGGGCUCGAGCAGGACCCCGCUAAUGAGGAGCUCAAGAAAUUACUGUCGCAAGUGGACGCAAAACUGAGCGAGCAAGAACGUCAAAGAGCCAAAGUUGCACAAGCAAUCGCCGCAGCCAAGGUCUCUUCUUGCCAAAUGAAUAACGCUGCUAUACUACCAUUCAAAUGUGUGGGAAUGACUGGUACUGUUGUGUUGUUUAUAGGAUCUUGCUGCUUCAGUGGAGAAGAGAGGGGUGAAGCUUGGGGAGCCUGCCUAUCAAGAACUGACAGGGGUAAAGAAGCCGAAGCUGGAUGAGCAGGGUGUGCUCCACUGGCCUGUUCUUCUGCUCUACCCAGAGGUCAUGUCGAGUGAUUUCAUUGAGGAUUUUCCGGAGACGGACACUUUUUCGCCCCACCUUGAUGUCAUAUCCUUCUGACCUUCUGAAAUUACAUGGUGCAUUCUUUGAUUGAGUUAAAUGUGUAGAUGUAUAAGUAACAUGAUUGAAUUCACAGUAUCCUUAACUAUCAAACAUGUUCUCAGAAAGUUCUCCACCAUUGCCAUGGGAUGAGAACCACGCUUACACAAGGUAUACCAUUGAGUUGUAUUAUCAGGUAUGUACUAAGCGCUAUGGUUACAAUUGCUUAUUAAUAAAAAAAAUCUAAGCAUCAUGGGAUGUAGCUGCUUCAUUGAACAUUAUGAUAAAAGGGCUUUAAUAACAAGUUGUGAUGUUGGAUAAUCCCGUUGUUGUUGGGUGAACCAUAAGUAAGUCUUUUGGUUAGCAGAGAACAUGUUGUAAUGGCUGCACAUUUAAGCUGUCCCCUGAAUUAGGAAAUACUAAUAAUCUAACAACCAAUGUAAUUGAAGUGUUAUUAGUAUACGCAAAACUAUUGUUUAUUGAUUGUACUUCAUUGUUGUUAUUGCCUAUUAGUUUUUCUAGAGUGCCUUAGCACCUUUCGAUUAAGAAGAAAGCAGUUUACAGACACAAUCUCGAUGAAGCCAAACAGAGCUUGACCAGCACGAGAGCACAAAGGACCAAAGAAAGAGAAACACUAAAGAAACACACAAACAACCACCACACGACUCAAAGCAACAAAGAGGAAGCACACUCGAACCCACAAACCUAGACACAGCUACUCUCCUGAACCUGCCAAAAGAUACAACCUCGUCAAGGGUGCUAAAGGUCUCAGAACUACAACGGUGGCAAAGCAUCCACCCAAACAUCAGGCUCUUGGUGGCAAAACAUCCGCCCGAACACAACAACGGUGGCAAAGCAUCCACCCAACCAGCACCACCAUGGCGGCAAAGCAUCCGCCCGAAGCAACCAACGACGGCGGCAAAGCAUCCGCCCGAAGCAACCAACGACGGCGGCAAAAAGCAUCCGCCCGGAGCAACCAACGAUGGCGGCAAAGCAUCCGCCCGAAGCAACCAACGACGGCGGCAAAGCAUCCGCCAGAGAAGAGGGGACGACAAAGCAUCUGCCAGACAACGACGACCUAAGCAACCCGGGCGAGGUGGACGAAUCUAAACGAAGGCAGGCACAGAAGAAGAUACUUCCCAAGGAGAACAGACAACCACCACGAGGACCCUGACCGGCCGGAGACGACUGGGGGUGGCGUUCAGCAACGAUCCCUGCAGUGACGGUAGCAAGAACCCGCUGAGCUUCCAAGACGAUGCCUCAAUGGAGGGGGCGACGCCACUGGCGCCGUCGUGGUCCGACCAACACGGUCAAGGCUUUCACCCGGAAGCUCACCGUAAGGGAGAGAAAAAGGGAAAGAAUGACGCCUUCAAGAAGGGAAGUGGCGUCCGGGGGCGUCGCUGUCAUUGACCCGCAAGAAGGCACAAGGCUUUCGCCUACACCCCGUUCCCUCUCCAGAAAUCACCGCCGCCACUAGGAGCACGGGGACCGCCGGGCGCGAAGGAGCCGAAGAAUGCCGCCACAUAGUCAGUUGCCCGGUCCCCCCGCUGCCAGAAGAUUGUAACCCUAGGUCGUCAGCCUAUAUAAGGUGGCUAGGGGCGCCCCCCUGGGUAAGGGAUCCCGCCUCACGUUAACUCUUCGC
rnacentral:lncRNA from 1 species